AUGAACGCUGGCGGCGUGCCUAAUACAUGCAAGUCGAGCGAACAGAUGAGGAGCUUGCUCCUCUGACGUUAGCGGCGGACGGGUGAGUAACACGUGGAUAACCUACCUAUAAGACUGGGAUAACUUCGGGAAACCGGAGCUAAUACCGGAUAAUAUAUUGAACCGCAUGGUUCAAUAGUGAAAGACGGUUUUGCUGUCACUUAUAGAUGGAUCCGCGCCGCAUUAGCUAGUUGGUAAGGUAACGGCUUACCAAGGCGACGAUGCGUAGCCGACCUGAGAGGGUGAUCGGCCACACUGGAACUGAGACACGGUCCAGACUCCUACGGGAGGCAGCAGUAGGGAAUCUUCCGCAAUGGGCGAAAGCCUGACGGAGCAACGCCGCGUGAGUGAUGAAGGUCUUCGGAUCGUAAAACUCUGUUAUUAGGGAAGAACAAAUGUGUAAGUAACUGUGCACGUCUUGACGGUACCUAAUCAGAAAGCCACGGCUAACUACGUG
rnacentral:rRNA from 1 species